GUCUACAGCCAUGCCAUCCUGAACGUGCCCCAUCUUGUCUGAUCUUGGAAGCUAAGCAAGGUUGGACCUGGUUAAUACUUGGAUGGGAGACCACCUAGGAAUACCAAGUGCUGUAGGUG
rnacentral:rRNA from 1 species